rnacentral:rRNA from 1 species
UACGUAGGGUGCGAGCGUUAAUCGGAAUUACUGGGCGUAAAGCGUGCGCAGGCGGUUUUGUAAGUCAGAUGUGAAAUCCCCGGGCUCAACCUGGGAACUGCGUUUGAAACUACAAGGCUAGAGUGUAGCAGAGGGGGGUAGAAUUCCACGUGUAGCAGUGAAAUGCGUAGAGAUGUGGAGGAAUACCAAUGGCGAAGGCAGCCCCCUGGGUUAACACUGGACGCUCAUGCACGAAAGCGUGGGGAGC